rnacentral:misc_RNA from 1 species
UGAGGAGAGGGUUAGAAGAACUAGUGAACAAUGCAUACAUUUACUGAAUUAUUGUUCUACUUCCAGACAUUCAACGGGUCCCUACCCUCCAUUUAUUCAAAUGCACCAGUUGUUAACUUGAACAUUGGUGAAUGGAUUUCACAUUUCAAUAUUGAAUGGGCUGUAAAACAGUUAACUCUGUUAUUCCAUGGUUCACUAGUUCUUCUAACCCUCUCCUCAGCCUCUCUGCAGCAGCUUUACAAUCAGCCUCUAUCAAGCCCCCAAAGGAGAUCCUAAUAUGCCCUGGGCAUCCACAAGCACCUCCUGGAAUCACAACCACCCCAUGCCUUGUAGCAAGCCAGCGAACCACUUUAAAAUCAUCAAGAUAUUUUUCAGGAAGCUUUGCCCAUAGGUAAAUUGCACCUUCUCCACCUUUCACAGCAUCUUCCCCUAAAGGGGAGAGAGCUUUCAGAAGAAUUUCUCUGUUCCUCACAAGAUCUUUCACUCGCUCAGUGACCCACUCAGGUCCCAUUUCUAAGGAGUA